UACGGAGGGGGCGAGCGUUAUUCGGAAUUAUUGGGCGUAAAGGGCGCGUAGGCGGCUGUACAAGUCAAAGGUGAAAUCCCUCGGCUCAACCUGAGGAACUGCCUUUGAAACUGUACGGCUUGAGGCCGGGAGGGGGUAGCGGAAUUCCCGAAUGUAGCGGUGAAAUGCGUAGAUAUUGGGAGGAACACCAGUGGCGAAGGCGGCUACCGUGGACCGGUUCUGGACGCUGAGGCGCGAAAGCGUGGGUAGCAAACAGG
rnacentral:rRNA from 1 species